UCCUACCAAACAAAAGAAAGUAUUAUAUAAGAUUAGUAUUCUCUUAACAUUACUAGCUAUAUGUUCCUGUUUAGUUGAGGAGGCAAAAAUAAAUGCGUAGCUGUAACCGGGAAAUAAAUAUUUGAUUUUUACUAAUUUUUCUCCUUGGACUUGAAUCAUCCUUCAUUAUGCACAAAGGGUGAGUGAGAGCAGUUGGUGUAGGAGUGAGGAGGUGUUUCUGGCUGACUGGAUCACGCACCCCCGCCAUCGCUGCUUUCACAACGGGAGCUGUUUCAUAAGGGAUUCCCGGCUAGAACUCUAAAAUAGAGUCAAAGUGGCUCAGGGCUGGAUAACGAGACAGAUGUGCGCAGACGCCCGCCUUGUUCAACACGAGGUCCCAGAGCGGGAGGAGACGCCCGUCUUCCCCGAGGACUUGCUUGAAGGGCCAACAGACCCCUGAUUCGACCGGUCGGUGGGCCCCGCCUGGAUCGUGCCAGGAACAGGCUGAUGUGACCAGUGGACACGUCUGACCCCUGUCUGGGCAGGGUGCUUGCCUCCUGUCACCUGGACGGAUGGACGCUGCUGCCGCUCUGUGACCUGCUUGCUCUGUGACAGACUACGUCCAGCUCGGAGCCCCCGGCCAGCGUUGGCCCUGACCGUGCCACCGUGGGAUUUCUGCGAGUUUCCUCUAGAACAAGGGAACUAGUGCUGGGACAGCAAGCUGCCAAGGAGGACCCGCCCAAGCCCACAUCACCCGGAAAUCAUUUCGCCAGAAAUAUUCUGCGUGUAUAAGUGCUGAGCUCAGGUUAUGCCAACAAAUGAGUUUGAAACCGACUUUCUGAUCGCAGAGGAUUUGGGUUUAUGUUUUCUGCAUGAGACCUCAUCGGUGAAGACACACCCGCCGCCCUGCUCCCGGGGCUCAGUCGCCCCCUGCCCAGGCGGGGCAGGUGCGGCCGUCCUGUUGGCCUGGAGCCCAGCUGCCUUCCAGAACGCCGACUGCGUGGACUUGGACGUCUACGCUGCUUGUGGCGGGCUUCUGUCACUUGGCACCGAGUCUCUGAGACGGAGCCACGCUGUUCCUACUGCGGAGCGGAAUUUACCGUGUGCACAAACCGCAGCCCCUUUACACUCUCCGUUCUCAUGAUGGGCGUCGGGCCUCUUAAUUUUGAUAAAGUGCAACUUACCAUUUUUUUUUCA